rnacentral:rRNA from 1 species
UACAUGGGGUGCAAACGUUGCUCGGAAUUAUUGGGCGUAAAGCGCACGUAGGCGGUCCGUUAAGUCGGAUGUGAAAGCCCCCGGCUCAACCGGGGAAGUGCAUCCGAAACUGGCAGGCUAGAGUACGAAAGAGGGUCGCGGAAUUCCCGGUGUAGAGGUGAAAUUCGUAGAUAUCGGGAGGAACACCGGUGGCGAAGGCGGCGACCUGGGUCGAUACUGACGCUGAGACGCGAAAGCGUGGGGAGCAAACAGG